ACAAAAUUCCAGACGGCGAAUGUUUUGAUGUUCUGUAACUAGUGUGAGGAUUUUAUGCUGCCGGAAAAUGAGAUUGAAAACUUCGUUACAGAAAGAAGCAAAGCACAUUCAGAACUUGUUAGUUGUGUUGGAUGGACAACACCAGAUGAAUGUUACUCUGGAGCAGACGACCACCUUGUUUUGAAGUGGAAUCUGAAUUCAAAUGAAACAACAACAUUAGUCAAACUGCCAGAAGAUGUGUUCCCUACAGAUAUGCACUGGUUCCCGAAAUCAGCGGCAGGGGGAGGGGCCGGCAAAAAGGGAUCAGACCUGUUUGUGCUCACUUCUACUGAUGGAAAGUUCCAUUUGAUCAGCAGAUCUGGAAGAGUAGAGAAAAGCAUUGAUGCUCAUAAAGGAGCUGUUUUGUCUGGCCGUUGGAGUUGGGAUGGAACUGCCCUGGUUACAGCGGGUGAAGAUGGACAAGUAAAAAUCUGGUCUAGAAGUGGCAUGUUGAGGUCUACUCUAACACAGAACAGUAACACAGUGUAUGGUGUUGCAUGGGGACCAGACUCGGAUCAAGUUCUAUUUACCAAUGGGAGACAACUUGUCAUCAAGUCACUGCAGGCAAAUGCUAAACCCACAAUGUGGAAAGCCCAUGAAGGUGUCAUAUUAAAUGUUGACUGGAACCCUGUAAACAACCUCAUUUUGUCAGGAGGAGAAGAUUGUAGAUACAAGGUCUGGGACACAUACGGGCGCAUUAUGUACAGCAGUGCUGCCCAUGACUACCCAAUCACCUCAUUAGCCUGGACACCCAAUGGAGAACUAUUUGCUGUCGGCUCCUUCAACACACUUAGACUCUGUGAUCAGGCAGGGUGGUCAUACUCUCUGGAGAAACCAAACACUGGUAGCCUGUUCAAAUUGGCAUGGUCCAGUGAUGGAACACAGGUAGCAGGUGCUUGUGGCAAUGGACAGGUACUGAUAGCCAAUGUCAUUGAAAAGAGACUGGAAUGGAAAAAUUAUGAGGCAGUGGUUGUAAGCAGCAAACAAAUCCAUGUCAGAAAUGUGAUGAAUGAAGCUUUGGAGAAACUAGACUUCAGAGACCGGGUCAUCAAAGUCUCGCUGUGUUUCAAUCAUCUUGUGGUGGCCACAGCGUCGCAGUGCUACAUUUACAACACAAAGAAUUGGAAUACUCCUAUGAUUUUUGAUUUGAAGGAGGGCAACAUAUCACUGAUUCUUCAAGCAGAGAAACACUUUAUGCUGGUGGACAGCUCCAAUGUGUACAUCUACUCCUAUGAUGGUCGGAUGGUCUGCUCUCCUAAAUAUCCGGGAAUGAGGGCAGAUAUAUUGAAUUAUCAAACAGUAUCUCUGAGUAAUGACACAGUAGCAAUUCGAGACAAAACGGAUGAGAAAGUAAUUUAUGUCUUUGAUGCACAAAAUGGAAAACCAUUGGGAGAUGGAAAACCUAUCACACACAAGUUGGAAGUGAUGGAGAUAGCUCUGGACCAGUGUGGACCAGCUACAGAGAGAAGACUGGCCAUCAUUGACAAAAACAGAGACCUGUACCUGACCUCUGUCAGAGUGUUCGGCUCUGAGAGGAAGUCCAACAAGCUAGGAAACAUGAUACAGUCCCUGUGUUGGAACGACUCGGCCAACAUGUUAGCUGCUCUGGCUGAUGGGAAAUUCACCGUGUGGUAUUACCCCAACACGAUCUACGUGGACAGAGACCUAGCCAGCCGCACUGUGUUUGAGAAGGAAGCAAGUUGUUUAGCUGCUCUCAUUUGAAAACUAGGAAAUAGAAUAGAUUUGUAUCAAUACCAUUACAUAUACUGUGAAUUUGGUAAAAAUCCACAGUUAUUAAACUUCAUUGGAAACCACAUCAUCAUUCGUCGAGCAGAGGGUUCACUAGUAGGCACAGGAAUCUCUCCAUACCCGGCCAUCUUACACAGCUAUGUACAAAGCUCUCGCUGGGAUGAUGCUGUCAGGCUAUGUCGAUUUGUGAAGGAUGAUGUGUUGUGGUGUUGUUUGGCUGCCAUGUCUGCCUAUGCCAAGGAGUUAAAUACAGCAGAAAUAGCCUAUGCUUCUAUCAAAGAGGCUGAGAAGGUGCAGUUUAUAGUCAACAUUAAGGACAUUCCAGUGAAGGAGGCACGAAAUGCUGAGAUGGCCCUCCUGUGUGGGAGCCCCCAGGACGCCGAGUCCAUCUUACUGACCGCUGGACUCAUCUUCAGGGCCAUCAUGCUCAACAUUCAACUCUACAACUGGGACAGGGCUUUGGAGUUAGCAGUAAAGCACAAAACCCAUGUAGACACAGUACUGGGAUACCGACAGAGAUACCUUGAGAGGUUUGACAAGAAGGAGAAAAACAAGCGGUUCUUACAGUACAGUGAAGGGAUUGAGAUUGACUGGGAGAAGAUUGAUGCUAAAAUAGAAAUGGAGUACCAAAAGGAGAGAGAACGCCCAGAAAGAACCCCCGCCCCCUCAGCGGCUAGCUCAGGUGAUAGACCGGAGAGGUCGGAGAGACCCAGGGGGCGGUCACAGAUCUCUGGCCACUGAGUGUGGGCAAUCUCUAGUAGAGACGACUGUGAUAGAUUUAUUUAUAUGUGAAUGUUUAAAGGUUGUGCAGGUUAAGUGUUGUACAACUGUUUUAUGAGGAUCAUGGAACCACAGAUGUGCUGACUUUUACAUUAUUAUUCCGUCCAUUCCAGACAGCUCUUUGUUUUUAUCCCUUUGUGUGAAGGGAAAAUGAAAGUAAUAAAUAUUGAAUG
rnacentral:misc_RNA from 1 species